rnacentral:tRNA from 1 species
GGGGGUUUAGCUCAGUUGGUAGAGCGUCUGAUUUGCAUUCAGAAGGCCAGGAGUUCGAAUCUCCUAACCUCCA